GGCUUAGAUGGACUAAUUACCUGAGGCCAGGGAUCAAACGCGGUAAUUUUACUGAUCAUGAGGAGAAGAUGAUAAUCCACCUCCAAGCCCUUUUAGGCAACAGAUGGGCAGCCAUAGCUUCAUACCUUCCACAGAGAACGGAUAAUGAUAUUAAAAACUAUUGGAAUACCCGUUUGAAGAAGAAGCUCAAAAAGCUCCAAACUACAGGUCAUGAAGGUCACUCUAAGGAUGAUUUAUUAUCAUCAACAAUUUCACAGCCAAUCUCCAGAGGUCAAUGGGAAAGAAAGCUUCAAACUGAUAUCCACACAGCCAAGCAAGCUCUAUAUGAGGCAUUAUUUCCAGAGAAACAAAGCAACUUAUUAACUGAGUUAAAACACUCUGGUGGAGAUCAUUCUUGUGCAAAACCAUCAUCAACUUACGCAUCAAGCACUGAAAACAUAGCUAAGUUGCUUAAAGGGUGGUUGAGAAAUGCACCUAAGCAAGCCCAAACCAACUCAUCAUCAGCAACUAAUCAGAAUUCUUUCAACAACAUAGCUGCGACUGAUUCUAUAUGU
rnacentral:misc_RNA from 1 species